GCCUCGGAGCUCAUGGAGGAGAAAGAGAAAGUAGAGAAGGAGAGAAGAGGGCUUUUCAUAAGUUUCUAUGAUUUACAGUUUAGAUUAGGGUUAAGAUGGGCGGACCAUUAAUUAGACGUUAUGUGUGGAAGAAGGCGAAGUGUUGAGUUAAGGUAGGUGGACCAUUAAUUAGACGUUAUGGGUGCAUGGAGGGAAGGCGAAGUGUUGAGUUAAGGUGGGUGGACCAUUAAUUAGACGUUAUGGGUGGAGGGAAUGCGAAGGGUUGGUUUCGCAAUAUGAAGUCCAAAACAAAAGAAAACACGCCACGUGGCUUUUCUUUUGGGGACAUGUGACUUUGAAAUAAAAUCCCCUUCAUUAUAGGUGACUUUGAAAUAGAGCUCUCAACAAUUAUGUAUUUAUUUUUAAUUGAUAUCUUUCUGACUUUAAUUUUUUAUUAAUUAAUUAAUUUAGUUUUAUUUGAUACAGAGUAGUUAAUUAAUUUAUUUUUUAAAAUUUAGUAUCUACUGUUUAGGAUUUAAAAAUUUUGGUUAAAUUUUUAGUUUAUUCGACAAAAUUAAUAGCUAUAUGCGUGUUAAUAAAAAAAAAAAUUAAGAGAAAUUGUCUAAAAAUGAGGGGAGUUCGUAUAUUUUUAUCUAAAGAAAUUAUAUAAUUUUUUAUCAAUUAAAUAGAUCUCUAAUGUGGAAGAUUUGCAUGAAAACUUAAAUAAUAUGUAGAAAAAGAAUAUUCUAAUGAGAUUUUAUUAAUUAAUAAUAUUUUGCUUACUGUUUGAAUGAUAUGAUUAGGGGCCUGAUUCAUAAAUCGCCUAAAAUUGAGGGCCUUCAAACAUUUUUUUAUCAUAAUAUGAUUUGUAUUCAUUAAAGGGGUCUCAAGUAUAAAAUUUUUUUAAUGCAAAAUAAAAUAGUAUGAAUGGCAUGGCCUAAAUCAUUU
rnacentral:lncRNA from 1 species